GGUGGAGUACCCAAGCGGCCAAAGGGGGCAGACUGUAAAUCUGCUGGCUCAGCCUUCGAUGGUUCGAAUCCAUCCUCCACCACCA
rnacentral:tRNA from 1 species